CAAAAGCCAAACUGGCGCCGCAGGGGGCAUGGACGUCGCAAAAGCGAAGGUUCAACUUCACAACGUGGAUUGUGCCAAAUAGGACAAGUCCGGGAGUACCACCACUGCCAGCGACGUGUGAAUAGGGGUGACUUCUGUGCAGACGCGUGUGGUCCACCACAGCCAUCCACGUCGCAAAGUGGUUUGCAUGAGCCAUUUGCUAUACGCUCCGAGUAUCGCACGUGGCGCACCGAACGAGGUGUGCGCGCCGGCCAUCACCCUUCUGUUAGACUAGUGCGGGGCCCUCGUACUCACCUAGGGCCUCCUGGGUUCGCUGCUGUUAGAGGCCACUACGCGGACUUUUGGCGGUGCCGACGUGAUGGGCGAUGGCUGCGGUUAGCAGAUUCCGUGGUCCGCGACUCACCGGCGGCUGUUACAGAAGAAGUACCGCUGCGACACUCACGGGGAAUGCCUGCGCAUACUGCCGUCAAGCGGCGAAAGCCAAACAGGCACUACAGGUGGCGCGGGCGUCCCAACAACCAAGGUUCAACUUCACAACGUGGAUCGUGCCAGCUAAGACAAGUCCCAGAGUACAGCCACUGCCAGCCAGGUCUGAAGUAUGGGAGCGGUGACUUCUGUGAAGACUCGUCUGACCCACCACUGCCAUCCACGUCGCAAGAUGGUUUCCAUCAAACAUGUGGUCCUGCUUCAUUUAACUUUAGGGCAGUAUUCUUUUGAGUAUAACACGCAUAGCGAACAUCGUAAUAGAAAGGAAUUUUACUUAGUCAACUGUGCAUUGUAGCAUUUACAAAGCCACAGCCAGUUGUGGCCAAAACUUUGCCUUAUGUCUCGGCACUCUUAGUGGGCAUGCAAGCGUACACUGUACAAAAGUAUUUAACUAAAAAGAAGAUAAUUUCUUCGAAGCUCCAUUUUGUAUUUGUGCUUUUCCUGUUAUUUUACAAGUUCUUUCAGUUGUACGACAAUAAAAAUAUUGUGUUAGGA